GAAAUGCGAUAAGUAGUGUGAAUUGCAGAAUUCAGUGAAUCAUCGAAUCUUUGAACGCACAUUGCGCCCCUUGGUAUUCCAUGGGGCAUGCCUGUUCGAGCGUCAUUUGUACCCUCAAGCUCUGCUUGGUGUUGGGUGUUUGUCCCCGUCUCCGCGCGUGGACUCGCCCCAAAGUGAUUGGCAGCCGGCGUACUGGUCCCGGAGCGCAGCACAUGUCGCGCAAACGAGUGCCUUGGUACGGCGGCGUCCAUAAGCCCCUCUCUCACGCUCUUGACCUCGGAUCAGGUAGGGAUACCCGCUGGACUUAAGC
rnacentral:misc_RNA from 1 species